rnacentral:lncRNA from 1 species
AACUCGACCCAACCAAGCAAAUGGAGCGUAACUUGUCACGUGGAAAACGUAGCGUAGUUUUAUAUGUUUUUGGAAGCAUGUAAACUUUUAUUUUAUGAAGUCGUUUUUUGUAAGAGGUAUUUUGAAUCGAUAGAUGCCGGUAAAGUUGAUUUAGAGCAUUUGAACUAUUUAUGAACUGAAUUUCAUAAUUUUUAAAUAUUAUUUACUUACGGAUUAAAGAGUUGGAAAAUUUAUAAUUUUUGACGAUUUAUAUGAGUCGUUUGCUUAUUUAGGGUAUGCUUGUUUGGGUGAAAGUGGGAUGGAAGUGGAGAGGAGGGAGUCAUUUUCGCCGUAAACGAUUGCUUCCAUUGUUUGGUUCGUCGUAAAUAAAUUACGGUCGAAACUCGAGUUAAUUUGAAACGACGUAAUUGACUUCGGCUCAUCGUGUACUGAAGUCAAUUACGGUGAAGAGAGAUGAAGAAAAAAUAAUAAAAUAAUAUAUUAGGUAAAGAUAGUUAUAUUUAAAUAUAUUUAAUUAUGGUAUUAAUUACUUUUUUUAUUUAGUUGACAUAUUUAAAAUAUGAUAAAAAUUGAUUAGUUAAAUUUUAAUGUUUUUUUAUUUAAUUUGUACAAUUAAAAUAUGAUAAAAAUUAAUUAAUUAAUUAAUUAUUAAUAAUUUUAUUUUAUAAUUUUAUUGUUGUAUUACUAUAACUUAUGUACAAAAAAAUAAUAUAGUUAUUUUAAAUUAAAUUUAAUUAUAUAAAAAAUAUAAUUAUAUUAUUUUUAUUUAUUAAAUUAUUUAUUAUUUAUGUAUAAAUUAUAGUUUUAAAUCGUACACUUCGUAUUAAAUAAACAGUAAAACUAAUGAAACUUUACUUCCAUAACUACGAAGCAAACAACAAAAAAUAAAUAGUUUUCACCGAAUUUUAUUUCAAUCCAAAAUCUACUUCAACUCAAAGUUCAGCUCUGAUGAAACAAACAUGAACUUAUUGAUGCAAACCGCUUGCGGAUGUGUUUUUUGAAUUUUUUUUUUUACGA